CUUUCCCGUCUGCAGUCACCGCAAGAAUAGGCUGGGCUGGGCUGCUGAAGAAGGAGACACAUGGAAUAGAAUGGAGUUGCCCAGUCAUACUGGUUGAGACCUUUCUAUAUCAGAGCAGUAAGCCAGCCCCUAGACAUAAGGAAGCCCAGCAGAAGUCAGCAGAGCUCUUAGGCAAUUCACAGCUGCCUGCAGGGCUGUGUUUUUUUCCUGCCUUUUUAACAUGUCAUAAAAUUUUUUGUGAAAAGCUGGACUUAAUGUAUUGGAGAAUUGAAACUGAGUUGGAAGAUUCUGUGCCUGUUGUCAAGGUGACACUCCCCGGAAUUUUAAAGAGAAGUUUUAAAGUAGGAUGCUUUGGCUAGUAUUUGCAGAAACAUAUACACUUUUUUUACAUGAUAAGGAAAACAACAGAUAUUUAUUCUUCAUCCCAGGGGGAAAAAAACCCUUGGAGGAAUAAUUCAGAGGCAACAUCCUUAACGGGUGAUCAGUAGACACAAGACUCAUCCCAGUGAGCCACUGGUUCUGGCAGCUGUGUGACUUUGGACAGAGAUAUCUACAAUCUUUCAAUAUUGUUUGUGCACCAACUGCAUUCUCCACGUUGUAUUACUGCAGAUUUAUUGAUGAGUAAAACAAAUUCCUACCCUCAAGGAGUUUGCAAGCAAAAGAGUGAAAUGAAGAUGAAAGUGCAAUGCUCCACUGUCUUUUCGUGUGCUCAGAGAUUACUUUCUUAAUCUUUAAAAUGAAAGGCUUUUGCCUAAAUGACUGAGUGAUGUUGCACCUAUAACCCUAAUAUUCUUUGAUUCCCAAGGACAAGAAUCAGAACUAACAAGGUAUAUAAUGACAAAAGAAUUUUCAUUAUGAGGAACUUAUCAAGAAAUCAUAGAGUGGAGAGACUUGCACUAAAAACACUUAAAAUGAAUGGGAAGCCCGUCAGCAUAUUGUAUGUCCAUAUUUUCCAAAAAGAGUUAAGUUUGUAAGCUACUGCAUAGGACCAUGGGAAUUCUGGAUGUCCUUGGACUGUAUCACAUGUGGUUUCUUGGCAUCUUAGAUGAUGCAAUUUUUUAUUGCUUUGUCCGUGCAAUAAACGCUGAUAAAUUUUUCGGUUUAAAAUUUACCAAGUCUGCUACUGUAUCCCAGAAUUCUCAAUGAAAGAAAAUAUUUACAGUUUUUAACAUUACAGGUAGAAAAAGGAUCAAAGUGAUUUUCUUAAAUUUCCUUCUAAUUCAUGGAAAAAAGAACACAGUCAGUGAGGGUCUUUGCUCCUGUUCCCCAAUUUUCUUUGUCCAAAUGGCUCAGCCUUGAAUUCAAGAGGAGUGGUGCAGGAUUUAAUUGCUCCCACUUGUCUUCCUUGUGCAAAACUGCAGCUAGAAGAGCAAAUGAUAAGUUGAGAAUAUUUAACACUCAGCAACAAUACCAGGAACUUGUUCAAACUUUGUUUUUGAAGCUUCUUGACCUUCCAAUGAUUUAUUUCUUCCACACAUGGUUUCAUUAGAACUUCACUUGGAGAAGAAGAGAAAUAGCAAAUAACAGCAUCUUUCAUCUAUAACCAGAAUAUUCCAAGCCUUUCAAAAGUUGUUGCAAAAAGAAUAAAGUAUGAGCUACCUAGGCCUUGUUUGUCUGAGUCUUGCAUCCUGCUCAUAAAAGUAACACAAAAUUUUUUCAACAAGGACUAAGAAUGAGCUUAUUAUUUUUUAACAUACAUACAAUUUAUUCAUGAUAAUAUUGCUAGUAGAAGCCUGGAAAUAACUGAGAUGCCAAUAAACAGGAAAAUUACUAAUUAUAUCUAUACAAUGAAAUCUAUGCAACUGAUUUAAAAUUAAGGAUGCACCCUCUUAUUUUUAGUGUGUAUGUAUAAAUGGAUACGUGGUAUGUUGUCAAAGAAGGUUUAGAAGUUCAAUUUAAAUAAUACUGAAGAUACCUGCUAUUGUAUAAGCAAUGAAAAUGCUAUACAGAUGUUCUGAAAUAAAACAAACACACCCAUACUCUGACCACUGAACUUUGGACCAGUAUUGCUCUUCAUUAGUAUCCUAAAAUGUAUGGACAUUUUAUGGGUCAUUGUUCCAAACCUGUCUUUGGAGCUAUUUGGAGUAGCACAGAACCAACCUGUCUUUAGAGCUUCCUUGAGCAGCACAGAAAAGGGACUUUCAGAGCUUCAGGAGACAGUAUUUCAUCCAAGUGCAGCUUCUGGAAGUGAAAUGUAUUUAGAAGGUUUGCUCUGCUAUUGUAAUUUCCCAAGUAGGCCCAUGUGACUCUGCAAACCCUAGGCCUGAGCCAGAUUUGUUUGAAAUGUCAGCCAAACUACCAGCACCUUACAUCAUGAUAUGGUCUGACUCUGUGUUCCCAUCCAAAUCUCAUAUCAAAUUGUAAUUCCCAGUGUUGCAGGAGGGGCCCAGUGGGAGGUGAUCGAAUCAUGGGGGUGGACCUCCCCCUUGCUGUUCUUGUGAUAGAAUUUUCCUUAUAUCUGCUUGUUUAAAAGUGUGUUUAAAGGCACCUUCCCCACACUUCCUGCCAGCCAUAUGAAGAUGGGCUUGCUUCCCUUUCAACUUCUGCCAUGAUUGUAAGUUUCCUGAGGCCUACCCAGAAACAGAAGCCUGUACAGCCUGCAGAACUAUGAGCUGAUUAAACCUCUUUUCUUUAUAAAUUACCCAGUCUCCAGUAUGUCUUUAUAGCAAUGUUGAGAACAGACUAACUCCAUGAGCAUCUCAAAUGUCAUCAUCACAGGUAAUAUCUAUUGAGCUCUCAC
rnacentral:lncRNA from 1 species